ensembl:lncRNA
UGGAUAAUAGUGGUGGUAUGGAUAAUAAGAAGAAUAUUGAAGAUAAACAAUUACAUAAUAAAGAUUAUUUUUAUGAAUGUAAUGAUACUGUGGAUACAGUAGAUGUAAGUAGUAAUGUAAUAAAGGAAGUAAAAAAAUACGAAGAAGAUAUUUAUAAUAUGAACAACCAACAUACUAGUAUUGAAAUAAUUAAUAAAAAUAAAAAUAAUAAUAAUAAUAAUAAUAAUAAUAAUAAUAAUAAUAACGAUAAAACAAACAAUCGUAUUGAUAAUAAUAAUAAAAGUAAUAACAGUAUUAGUAGUAAAAGUAAUAACGAUGCUGAUGAGUUUCAAAGUUUGUGUGGAAAUGAAAAAGGUAUAGACUUAAAUUCUUAUACAGAUAUAAAAGAACAGGAGAUGAACCAACUGAAUAAUAACAAUAAUAGUAGCAGUGGUAAUAAUAAUGAUAAUGUAUUACAAAACAGAAAAACAGUAACUGAAAAUUUGACUACUACUACUACUAUUGGUAGUGGUGAAAAUAUAACCCAAUCAGUAGCUACAACUUCUAAACUUGGAAUAAAUGUAAGAAGCUACAACCCACGAGGUAGUAGUAUGAGUAAGAGAGACGAUAAUGUUGGAACUGGUAAUGCGGAGACUACCAAUGUUGCAUAUAUGGAUAUGGAUAAAAAUAAGACUACUGCUGCCACUGCUGCCACUGCUGCCACUGCUGCUACUGCUGCUACUGCUGCUACUGCUGCUACUAGCAAUAACAAUGUUGAGAGUGCUGAUUUAUCAAAUAAAAACAAACAAUUAAUAAACGAUAAUAGAUAUAAACCCAAUCUUACAUAUGAUUAUAAUAAAAAUAGGAAAACAACAAAUGUUAUAAAUAAUUAUACGAAAUUUAAUAAUAGGGAAUAUAAUAAUACGGAAUAUAAUAAUAGGGAAUAUAAUAAUAGGGAAUAUAAUAAGUCCAAGAAUAUGGAUAAGGAUAUUAAAAAAAAAACUUUUGUAAGUAAUAGAAGAGCAAGUUAUAACAUUACUAUACGAAAUGUUGAUGAAGAUUUGGAAUUAAACAAACAGUCAGGUGAUUAUUCAGCUGGUACCAACAGUUUAAUAGAUAGAGGAAAACGUUUAUUUGGAGCGAGAUCUAGUGUACAUGCAGGUUUUAAGUUUCAGCGCAAUAAUAACAUUAAUAAUAAUAUUAAUAAUAAUAUUAAUAUUAAUAGUAAUAAUAUUAAUAGUAAUAAUUAUAUUAAUAGUAAUAAUAAUAAUAUUAAUAGUAAUAAUAAUAAUUAUGUUGAAAUAAAUGAUAGUGGUGGAAGUAAGGUGAUGAUGAAUGAAAAGUUUGAAAAUAAUUUAGAACAAAAAGACGAACAAUUAGAGUUAGGAAAUGAGAAUAAUAAUGUAGAGGUAGAAUAUCAUAAAAAAUGUUGCAAAUGGAGAAAAUGUACAAUAUAAUAUAAAUAACAAUGGUAUAAAAGAAUAUACAGGUACAAAUGAAUAUACAGGUACAAAUGGAUGUAAUGAAAUUCCAACGGAGAAUGUUAAUGAAGACGCACGUAAAAGUAAUAAGUAUGUUGAUGAUGGUGGUGAAUACUACGAUGAUAAUGAGUACGUUGAGGAUAUUCAUGAAGAGGGUAUGCAUGAAGAGGGAGAGUAUGGA